AAUUUGAAAUCUGGCCCCCUUCGGGGUCCGAGUUGUAAUUUGUAGAGAGCGCUUCGGGCGAGGUCGCGGUCUAAGUCCAUUGGAACAUGGCGUCGUAGAGGGUGAGAAUCCCGUAUGCGACCGUGGACCGAGCCCAUGUGAAGCCUCUUCGACGAGUCGAGUUGUUUGGGAAUGCAGCUCAAAAUGGGUGGUAUAUUUCAUCUAAAGCUAAAUAUUGGCUGGAGACCGAUAGCGCACAAGUAGAGUGAUCGAAAGAUGAAAAGCACUUUGGAAAGAGAGUCAAACAGUACGUGAAAUUGUUGAAAGGGAAGCGCUUGCAACCAGACCUGCCCGGGGGCGAUCAGCCGCUGUUCUCAGCGGUGCACUCGUUCCCCGAUCAGGCCAGCAUCGGUUCCGGCGGUCGGACAAAGGUCCCGGGAAUGUAGCUCCCCUUGGGGAGUCUUAUAUCCCGGGGCGCAAUGCGGCCAGCCGGGACCGAGGACCGCGCUUCGGCUAGGAUGCUGGCGUAAUGGUUGUCAGCGACCC
rnacentral:rRNA from 1 species